rnacentral:rRNA from 1 species
CGUGUAGGCGGCUGGAUAAGUCAGAUGUGAAAGCCCUGGGCUUAACCCAGGAAGUGCAUUUGAAACUGUUCAGCUUAAGUAAGGGAGAGGAAAGUGGAAUUCCUGGUGUAGAGGUGAAAUUCGUAGAUAUCAGGAGGAACACCGGUGGCGAAGGCGACUUUCUGGCCCUAUACUGACGCUGAGACGCGAGAGCGUGGGUAGCAAACA